UCCGAUCUCCUUACAUGAUCUUAGCCUUUCACAAGAGGUUACCAAGGUCGUUUCGGUCCUAUAAAAGGGCUAGGAUUUGCUUCGAUCUUCAGUAGCUUGUGAACUUCACUAAGCAAUCGAAUCAAAAUGAAAACUGUGCUUGCUAUCUUCCUCUUCGCCCUUAUUGCCGUAGCCAUGGCUGGCUUAUACUCUGGAUAUUAUCCAGGAUACUAUGGUGGAUACCGUGGUCUUUAUGGAGGCUAUUACGGCGGUCUUGGCCACUACGGUGCUUAUGGCUAUCCUUACAGCUAUGGUCACUAUGGCAGAUAUCUCUGGUAAAUUAAUAGUAACUCUGAAAGAUCCUGCAGUGAAUUUCGAGUUUCCCUUCUUCAACUUCUGAAAAUUUCUACUCUCCAUGAUUUCCUUCGCUAUAAUAUUUCUAGUUUUCUGUAAUUCUUCUUAAAAAACUGUAAAUAAAAAGUUUUACACUUUAAAAAUAUAUGUUUUCUCAGC